rnacentral:rRNA from 1 species
UACGUAGGCAGCAAGCGUUGUUCGGAAUUACUGGGCGUAAAGAGUGUGUAGGCGGUGUUCUAAGUUUGUCGUGAAAUCUCCCGGCUUAACUGGGAGGGUGCGGCGAAAACUGGAAUGCUAGAGGAUGGGAGAGGUAAGCGGAAUUCCUGGUGUAGCGGUGAAAUGCGUAGAUAUCAGGAGGAACACCUGUGGUGUAGACAGCUUACUGGACCAUUUCUGACGCUGAGACGCGAAAGCGUGGGGAGCGAACAGG